rnacentral:tRNA from 1 species
GGCCCAGUAGUUUAAUGGUAGAAUGCUUGCUUUGGAAGCAAGUGGCGGGUGUUCGAUUCACCCUUGGGCUA